CAUGCUCAUCCCCUGCCAAUCGUUUCCCUUGACGACAGGCCCCGAUGACCUUUGGCCGCAACACGGCAGGUGGCUGCAUGGCGGUGUCGGACGACCUGCUGACCGCGCACUACACAGAGGACUACCAGGAGCAGCAGCUGCCCGACAACCCCGAGCGACUACAGUAAAUGGUGAUGAUGGUGCAGCUCCUGUGUGGACAUGCUCUGUUACAACAACACAACACCGAGCCAGAAGACGAAGCCGUAACAUAAGCAGCAGUUGCUGUUGAAUGACCGUGCUGACCUCCAAGCUGAGCUAUGGCAAGGCAGUGAACACAUCAGUGGUUUUGGACCAACCAGCUCUCCAGCUGCAUCACUGAAUCGGUGGAACUGCACAAACUACAAGUCUGCUGUGCCUCAUGCAUACUCCCGGCCGACCACAGUGCAAGAUUUAACUACUUAUAACAAGGGACAACAUGGCAUCCCCCACAUCCUU